ACACGUGGAUAACCUGCCCUAAGGUGGGGCAUAACCCCGGGAAACUGGGGAUAAUACCCCAUAGGUUAGAGAUGCUGGAAUGCACUUUAACCCAAAGCUCCGGCGCCUUAGGAUGGAUCUGCGGCCGAUUAGGUAGUUGUUGGGGUAACGGCCCAACAAGCCCGUAAUCGGUACGGGUUGUGGGAGCAAGAGCCCGGAGAUGGACUCUGAGACACGAGUCCAGGCCCUACGGGGCGCAGCAGGCGCGAAAACUUUACAAUGCAGGAAACUGUGAUAAGGGAACCCCGAGUGCCCGUAUACGCGGGCUGUCCAGGUGUGUAAAAAGCAUCUGAAGAAAGGGCCGGGCAAGACCGGUGCCAGCCGCCGCGGUAAUACCGGCGGCUCGAGUGGUGGCCACUUUUAUUGGGCUUAAAGCGUUCGUAGCUUGGUUGUUAAGUCUCUUGGGAAAUCUCACGGCUUAACCGUGAGGCGUCUAAGGGAUACUGGCAACCUAGGGACCGGAAGAGGUGAGAGGUACUCCAGGGGUAGGAGUGAAAUCCU
rnacentral:rRNA from 1 species